rnacentral:rRNA from 13 species
UGAAGAGUUUGAUCCUGGCUCAGAUUGAACGCUGGCGGCAUGCCUUACACAUGCAAGUCGAACGGCAGCACGGACUUCGGUCUGGUGGCGAGUGGCGAACGGGUGAGUAAUAUAUCGGAACAUACCCUAGAGUGGGGGAUAACGUAGCGAAAGUUACGCUAAUACCGCAUACGCACUAAGGUGGAAAGUGGGGGAUCGCAAGACCUCAUGCUCAUGGAGUGGCCGAUAUCUGAUUAGCUAGUUGGUGAGGUAAAGGCUCACCAAGGCGACGAUCAGUAGCUGGUUUGAGAGAACGACCAGCCACACUGGAACUGAGACACGGUCCAGACUCCUACGGGAGGCAGCAGUAGGGAAUCUUGCGCAAUGGGCGAAAGCCUGACGCAGCCAUGCCGCGUGAAUGAUGAAGGUCUUAGGAUUGUAAAAUUCUUUCACCGGGGACGAUAAUGACGGUACCCGGAGAAGAAGCCCCGGCUAACUUCGUGCCAGCAGCCGCGGUAAUACGAAGGGGGCUAGCGUUGCUCGGAAUCACUGGGCGUAAAGGGUGCGUAGGCGGGUCUUUAAGUCAGGGGUGAAAUCCUGGAGCUCAACUCCAGAACUGCCUUUGAUACUGAAGAUCUUGAGUUCGGGAGAGGUGAGUGGAACUGCGAGUGUAGAGGUGAAAUUCGUAGAUAUUCGGAAGAACACCGGUGGCGAAGGCGACACACUGGCCCGUUACUGACGCUGAGGCGCGAAAGCGUGGGGAGCAAACAGGAUUAGAUACCCUGGUAGUCCACGCCGUAAACGAUGAGUGCUAGUUGUCGGCAUGCAUGCAUGUCGGUGACGCAGCUAACGCAUUAAGCACUCCGCCUGGGGAGUACGGUCGCAAGAUUAAAACUCAAAGGAAUUGACGGGGACCCGCACAAGCGGUGGAUGAUGUGGAUUAAUUCGAUGCAACGCGAAAAACCUUACCUACCCUUGACAUGGUUGGAAUUCCGAAGAGAUUUGGAAGUGCUCGCAAGAGAACCAAUACACAGGUGCUGCAUGGCUGUCGUCAGCUCGUGUCGUGAGAUGUUGGGUUAAGUCCCGCAACGAGCGCAACCCUCACCAUUAGUUGCCAUCAUUCAGUUGGGCACUCUAAUGGGACCGCCGGUGGUAAGCCGGAGGAAGGUGGGGAUGACGUCAAGUCCUCAUGGCCCUUAUGGGUAGGGCUUCACACGUCAUACAAUGGUACAUACAGAGGGCUGCCAAACCGCGAGGUGGAGCUAAUCCCAGAAAGUGUAUCGUAGUCCGGAUUGUAGUCUGCAACUCGACUACAUGAAGUUGGAAUCGCUAGUAAUCGCGGAUCAGCAUGCCGCGGUGAAUACGUUCCCGGGCCUUGUACACACCGCCCGUCACACCAUGGGAGUUGGCUUUACCCGAAGGCGGUGCGCUAACCAGCAAUGGAGGCAGCCGACCACGGUAGGGUCAGCGACUGGGGUGAAGUCGGAACAAGGUAGCCGUAGGGGUACCUGCGGCUGGAUCACC